CGGGGAAUUGUUCGCAAUGGGCGCAAGCCUGACGACGCAACGCCGCGUGGAGGAUGAAGAUCUUCGGGUCGUAAACUCCUUUCGAUCGAGACGAAUGGCUCCUGGGUGAACAAUCCAGGGGAAUGACGGUACCGAGAGAAGAAGCACCGGCUAACUCUGUGCCAGCAGCCGCGGUAAUACAGAGGGUGCGAGCGUUAAUCGGAAUUACUGGGCGUAAAGCGCACGUAGGUGGCGACGUAAGUCGGGUGUGAAAGCCCCGGGCUCAACCUGGGAAUUGCAUUCGAGACUGCAUUGCUGGAGUACGGAAGAGGAGGGCGGAAUUCCCGGUGUAGCGGUGAAAUGCGUAGAUAUCGGGAGGAACAUCAGUGGCGAAGGCGGCCCUCUGGUCCAGUACUGACACUCAAGUGCGAAAGCGUGGGGAGCAA
rnacentral:rRNA from 1 species